CUGUCUUUCAGCUCUCCCUUCCUUCCCCCUUCCAUAAACGGCCAUGUGGUGCUGGGGCUGAGGCUCUGAAAACCGCUGGCAGAUGUUCAGUCGGCGUCCGCCCAGGGGCGCUGGAGGGCGCCUGCGGGCUCUGAUCCCAGAGGCAUCGCCCCAGCCCCACCUCUUCAACAGGCAGAGCAGAGUCUUCCUGCCCAAGAGGCUGAAGCCAGGCUGCAGUUUCUCCAAGACUUGCAGAACCAGCCUCAACGCACCUCCUCCUCCGAGUUUUGGCUGCUAGAUUGUGAAGCUGUUGUGCAAAUAAUUGCACCAUCACUGUGUUAUUCACGGUGUCCUAUUCAUUUCUUAAAAUUACCGGGGAGCAAGGCGGAACGCAGAGGAGAUCGGUUACCCCGAGCGUGGGAACGCAGACAGCUCAGGCCUCCCCUUCCCUGACGAACAUCCUGUAUGCAGCCGAGCCACCUGUGCGCAAAACACCUUCAAAAGGUGCCUCGGGAAACAAUGACCGCUGGGCGAACGAGGUGUGCUUUCCGUGCCGGACCUGCCACUACAGAUGUGCAGCCACCGGCCACCCAGGUGACCGUCGCGCCUUCGGUGGCCCACCUGCUGCUUUGCGGUCUCUCAGCUCUCCGCACCGAUGUUCUGACCCAACAGUGUCCAGAAAUGUUUACAUGCAAAGCCAGGAAAGCUGUUUAGGAGCGCCUUGCAUGUAAACAUCACACGUAAUUCCGAGACUCCUUUUACAGUGUUUUUGGCCCAUCUGUGCCUGAAUUUUUAAAAUGUCCCUGAACUCAACUGUCCAGACAUUCCCCCUCUGCCCUUUCUCUGCACAUGGAGGGCUCGAGGGAAGGGCGCCGGAACUGGGCUUCUCUCGCCUGGAACCCCGUCACUCAGGGAACUUGCUGAGGGCAGCCCGUGCCUAGUCUUUCCGAGCGUACCUGCCCUGGGCACUGCCAGGAGUCAGCCCGAGACCCCUUCACCUGCCCGCGCACACCUGCCGGGGGUCAACCCGGGACCCCUUCACCUUCCCUGGGCACCGGCGGGGCAGCGCAGACUCGUUCCUGCUCGGGGGACUGGGAGGACCGGCAGCAACAACCGGGACUACUUUUCGCAGACCCCCCAUCCCCACCCCGGUCGGCCGGCGGAGGGAGCGCGGGCAGAGAUGUCUCGGCGCGCACCUCAAUCAGUGCGCAUGCGCGCCUCAAUCAGUGCGCAUGCGUGUCUCCGGUGGGGCUCCGCGCCUUCCUGCCCGCCAGCUUGUGCACUUCUCUCAGGACCUUCCAGCUCCGAAACCUGGGACUUAAUCCAGCUGACACUGGCUUCAGCAUACUGACCAUGGGACCUGGCAGGAUUCCGUGUGCCCAGGACGAGCCGACCCAGGUGGUGAAUGCUGGCAUGAGUGACCCACGGCGCCUGCUGCACAGCCAGUCUGCAGACAGAGCCACCGUGCAUCCAGCCUCUGGAAGGUACUCCUGAUGGAUGUUCAGAAAGGCAUUUACCUCACCUGCUUUGUUACCUUUUAUAUUGAACAAGUGUCAGACACUCACAGCAAAGUGUCAUCAAUAGCAUUAAACUCCUGAAGUUUUAGCAGAA